rnacentral:rRNA from 1 species
CAGUCGCCACGGGAAUACGGAGGGAGCUAGCGUUGUUCGGAAUUACUGGGCGUAAAGCGCACGUAGGCGGCUUUGUAAGUUAGAGGUGAAAGCCUGGAGCUCAACUCCAGAAUUGCCUUUAAGACUGCAUCGCUUGAAUCCGGGAGAGGUGAGUGGAAUUCCGAGUGUAGAGGUGAAAUUCGUAGAUAUUCGGAAGAACACCAGUGGCGAAGGCGGCUCACUGGCUCAUACUGGACGCUGAGGUGCGAAAGCGUGGGGAGCAAACAGGAUUAGAGACCCCAGUAGUCCCUGUCUAUUAUAC